AACCAGCUCUUCAAGUGGUCGGGAUAAUUAUUGGGCUUAAAGUGUCCGUAGCCGGUUUAGUAAGUUCCUGGUAAAAUCGGGUAGCUUAACUAUCUAUAUGCUAGGAAUACUGCUAUACUAGAGGGCGGGAGAGGUCUGAGGUACUACAGGGGUAGGGGUGAAAUCUUAUAAUCCUUGUAGGACCACCAGUGGCGAAGGCGUCAGACUGGAACGCGCCUGACGGUGAGGGACGAAAGCCAGGGGAGCGAACCGGAUUAGAUACCCGGGUAGUCCUGGCUGUAAACGAUGCAUACUAGGUGAUGGCACGGCCAUGAGCCGUGUCAGUGCCGUAGGGAACCGUUAAGUGUGCCGCCUGGGAAGUACGGUCGCAAGGCUAAAACUUAAAGGAAUUGGCGGGGGAGCACCACAAGGGGUGAAGCCUGCGGUUC
rnacentral:rRNA from 1 species